GUGGGCGUAGCUCAACUGGUCAGAGCACUGGAUUGUGGUUCCAGGGGUUGGGGGUUCAAGUCCCCUCGCUCACCCCA
rnacentral:tRNA from 3 species